CUGUUCUAGCCUGAUCAAAGAGAAUUUCACAUCAUAGCCCAAGAACUUGCCAGUCAAGAUGAAAAACUUCUUCUAAUGGAAUCCAGCUUGAAAGCUACUCAAGAGCAGCUAACUGAGCAAAUAGCAGAAACAGUUCGCCAAGAACAGAACAGUAGAAAACCCCAGGCAGAGCUGAAGACAGUGACAGAAGGGAUUAUUGCUUCUGAAGAAGAAAAAAAUGAUUACAAGUACAACUUCUUUCUCGUUCAUGGGCAAACUGUUAAAGAUGUAACCUCUUCCCGUUGGCUUUGGCAGGCCUCUACUGCAAGACCCUCUCAAAGAAUCUUCUAUUUUAUCAACUGUUACAACUUCAUUGCAAAAGGUGUGCAAGAGGAGGGAAAUUAAGUUGGUAAAUAUUUUGAAGCCAGACAAAUAUUUGGCCAACGUUUUAAACAGUGGAACUACUUAAUCAAAGAAAAAUCUUACUUAUAGGGCCAAAAAGGAAAAAAAAAAAAAAAAGAAUUGUACUCAUUGAAGUAGAGUUGGUAAGCUUGGAAGGUGGAUUUCCCUCCCUCUCUCUACAAGUCCUCACCCAUGACAUCACUGCCCUCCGCAGACACCACUGGAAUUUGAAAAGUAUUGGAAAACCCCUCUUGAACCAUAUAAUGAACAAUUAAAAGGUUACACUAAAGAAGACUGAAAAAUCAGAUCUGUGCUGGGGAGAUAAUGAAGACUAUGAAGACAAUUAGGAAAUAAUAAAAUGUUUGCCAAAAAGGUAUAAGGAAAGGAGGUGAGAAGGAUUUGAAAGGACAGUAUGCAAUUAGAGAGCAAAAAGACACAAAUGACAGAGACUUCUUUCAACUUGGUGGGCCAAAGGGACAUGCUUAUGUCAUUAACCAAUACAAUAAAAGGGAAAGAAACGUGAUUUUUGCAGAAGAAGAAAAAUCUUCUGUUGACAUAUUACUCUGGAAGAGCCUGCAAGAUAUCCCAGGCAAGGAUGUGUCAUUAGCAUAUGAAGUCAUGAACUCUGUGACUUGCUUACUGUAAUGAAAAAUUCCACAUGCAUAACUCUAUACUUUUUGAUUACUCUUCCAAUAAAGAAUUCUGUCUUUGGGGGCAUCUAAUCAUCAAAGAUUACCUCAUUCACACAAUAGAAUAAUCACUAGAAAACACAAUAGCUAAUUGGGACUCUUGAAAUUAAAUAUGGUGGUGGUUUUGCUUGUGGAAGGGUACUAAAUGGCUCAUGAUUUUAAUUUUAAUUAUAAAAAAUGACUUUCUAAUAGUCAUAACUGCCUUUAUAUCAAAGAGGUGAUAUAUUUCUUGUUACUGGAAAUGUUCAGUCUGAAUAAAGAAUGUCUGUUCGACAGGCAUGUUUGUCAAAGCACUCACGUAGCUGGUAAGUGGUUGACUCCUAAUUUGUAAGUUGUUCUGCAGUUUUCAGUAUCUGUGAGUCUAUGACCCCUCUUGAGUUUUAAGCUAAAAUGUCCACAUAUCAGAAAAAAUGUUACUGUUCAAUUGCUAAGUUUUCAUGGUCUCAACUUGAACCUUUUCCCACUUUCUCAGCUUACCCAUACACCACCCUCCAUAAGACAAGAAUGCAAGUAAAUAGCCUACAAAGAAGAUGUAAUUUUCUACUGCUACAGUUUAUUGCUCUUGUGAUGACAUUAUAGUUUACUGGAUGACAUAGGUAGAAUCAUGAGACUUAUUUCUGACUACUAUUUACCUCCCACCACCUAACCCUACCAUAUUUCCUGAAGAUUUUACAGUGUCUACCCCUACUUAACACUGCCGGUGAUUAAAUUUUUCAGGUAAAAUUUAGGAUCUGGAAACAAAACCUUCAUAAUCUGAUCUUGUGUAAUUGGUAGAGCAUCAUCUUUUGAUUUUACAUUUUUCCCAUUACAUUUUAUUUUCUAGCAAAAAUGACUUUUCAUUCCACAGACAUACACUAAAACCAAACAUAUCUGUGCCUUAAAUGCCUUGGUUCCUUUUCUAUACUGAAAAUAUUCUGCUUUCAAAACUUGAUCAAGUUUUAAAAUUUUUUCUCUCAUGACAUUUUUUAUCCUACUUCAAUAUCUAAUAAAUAAUUACAUUGUUACAAAUGAAUAAUUACAUUGUUAGUAGGUAUCUGUUGACCUCUAAGCCACCAUUUUAGAAAUAUGUGAUCUGCAUGUACAAUUUUAAAUUUUCUAGGACUAGCGGGGAAAAGGGGGAGCCCAGGUGACUCAGUUGGUUGGGCAGUUAACCCUUGAUUUUGGCUCAGGUCAUGAUCUCAGGGUCCUGGGCUGUAGCCCUGCAUCUGGCUCCAUGAUCACCGGGAGGCCUGCUAGGAAUUCUCUCUCUCUCUGUCUCCUUGGCCCCUCUUUCAGCUCACUUUCUCUCUCUCUUUAAAAUGAAUUAAUCAGUCAAUCAAGAAGUCUUUUAAAAAGAGGGGGGACCAGGUGAACCUAAUUUUAUUCAUAUUUAACUCAUACCAAAUCUUAUUAUUUCAAAAUAUAAUCGAUAUAAAAUUAUAAAUGAGACAUUUAAAUUUUUUAUAUUAUCUUUAAAAUCUAGUGUGUGUUUUACACUUAGAGCCCAUCUCAAUUUGGACAGGCUAAAUUUAAGUACUCAAUAGCACAAGUGGCUAUUGUCGUUUAUAUCUACAAAGCAGCAAUAGGAGUUGGCCAACAUUGGUUCAUGGCCAAAUCCAGCAUGAUACCUGUUUUAUUCUAUUUUAUUUUAUUAUUUUAAAACCUAUUUUAGUGUGGCUUGGGAGCAAAGGUAAAUUCUCACAUUCUUAAAUUGUUGAAAAAGAUGAGAAGAAGAAUAUUUAUUGACACCUGAAAAUGAUAUGAAAUUCAAAUUUCAGUGUCCUUAAUAAAGAUUUAUUAGAGCAUAGCCAUGGUUAUUCACUUAUAGAUUUUCUGCAGCAAGUUUCAUGCUAAAAACGACAGAGCCAAUUAAUUUUGAGUGGCUGUAUAACCCCAAAAGCAUAAAAUAUUUAUCUUCUGGCCUUUUACAGAAAAAGUUUUCUAACCUCUUCUUUAGAGGGUUCCUUCUGCUAGGAUCAUGAUCACAUUUUAGUUACCUUUGUUUGCACUCAGCACAUGGCUGACUCACAAAAGAGACUUAAAAAUUUCAGAAUAGAAUAUAUUUUAUAAAUUCAAUGAAACAAGCAUUUAUUGAACAACUGCAAUCCUAAAACAUACUCUCUAGACCUAGAAAUCAUACGUUAGAAUUUUUCCAGUUCAAAAUACUGUACCACCAGGACAGAGAAGUGAUAACACAGAAUCAAAAUCAGAAUUCUCAAUUCAGAUAGAUCUGGGUCCAAGUUCCAGUUUUGCUUUAUCUGUAAUCUUGAGUAAUUUAUGUACCUACCAAUAUUAAAGCGGUCAGUCCCCAAACAUGCCUAGCCCAGGCAACAAUGAAUCUGCUUUCUGUCGCUAUAUAUUUAUUUUGCCUUUUCUAAGAUUUUAUAUAAAUAUUUAUAAUGUAAAAAAAUUACUUCCUCUGUAGUCCUUUGAUUCACUACCCAUAAAAAGGCAAAAUAAUGCUUAACUCACAGGGUUAUUGCAACAAUUAAUUGAGAUGGUGUGUAUAAUAAUAGUAUACUGAC
rnacentral:lncRNA from 1 species